rnacentral:rRNA from 1 species
GAUGAACGCUGGCGGCGUGCCUAAUACAUGCAAGUCGAGCGAACAGAUAAGGAGCUUGCUCCUUUGACGUUAGCGGCGGACGGGUGAGUAACACGUGGGUAACCUACCUAUAAGACUGGGAUAACUUCGGGAAACCGGAGCUAAUACCGGAUAACAUUUGGAACCGCAUGGUUCUAAAGUGAAAGAUGGUUUUGCUAUCACUUAUAGAUGGACCCGCGCCGUAUUAGCUAGUUGGUAAGGUAACGGCUUACCAAGGCGACGAUACGUAGCCGACCUGAGAGGGUGAUCGGCCACACUGGAACUGAGACCCGGUCCAGACUCCUACGGGAGGCAGCAGUAGGGAAUCUUUCGGAAUGGGCGAAAGCCUGACGGAGCAACGCCGCGUGAGUGAUGAAGGGUUUCGGCUCGUAAAACUCUGUUAUUAGGGAAGAACAAAUGUGUAAGUAACUGUGCACGUCUUGACGGUACCUAAUCAGAAAGCCACGGCUAACUACGUG